UACAGAGGGUGCAAGCGUUGUUCGGAAUUACUGGGCGUAAAGCGCGUGUAGGCGGCGGCGUAAGUCGGGUGUGAAAUCCCUCAGCUCAACUGAGGAAGUGCACUCGAUACUGUGUCGCUUGAAUGUCGGAGGGGAUGGCGGAAUUCCCGGUGUAGAGGUGAAAUUCGUAGAUAAUCGGGAAGGAACACCUGUGGCGAAGGCGGCCAUCUGGACGACAAUUGACGCUGAGACGCGAAAAGCGUGGGUAGCAAACG
rnacentral:rRNA from 1 species